rnacentral:misc_RNA from 1 species
GAAUUCGUCUGCUUGAAGUGGGCAAGGGCACCUGUGACAGUAGGAAUCGUCUGAGUUUUUGAAAAAAAACUACUACAUUAUUCAAAGGAGAUGUCAGAGUACCUAAAGCCAGCAGCAGCCAUUGCUUUGCCCUUUUUAGGUGGAGCAGCUGGAUCUGUGAUCUCAAGAACAAACAUUUCUCAAUGGUAUGAGAACAUAAAGCGCCCCUCUUGGAGGCCCCCUAAUUACAUAUUUGGACCAUCGUGGCCACAAUCUUCACCUUCCACAAGGUCAAUGCUACAGCAGCCCACAUCUUGUUUCCCUACCUGGGCUGGGUGACCUUCGCAUCAGUCUUGACCUUCAAAAUCUGGAGAAUGAACAAGGACGACAAUGAGGAGAAGGACUCAAAGUCCUCUUAAAGAUAUCUUUGUUGUUUUAGGUUAUAUAUGACAUUUACAAUCUAGUCUAGAAGACAGUACAAACUCUGUGUGACAGUGUGAUUAACGGUAUUCAGCAGCAAGGCCUUAUCUUGGUGCACAUGUACUUAGUCGGAGAUUUUGAAUAGCAGAGCUAUGAAUAAACUUGUAAUAUAUAUAAAGAAACAUUUUUUAC